rnacentral:lncRNA from 1 species
CUUUUUUUAUAUGUUGGGGCAUCUUUUGGGUAUAUGCCCAAGAGAGGUAUAGCUGGAUCCUCAGGCAGUUCAAUGUUCAAUUUUCUGAGUAACCUCCAGACUGAUUUCCAGAAUGGUUGUACCAGUCUGCAAUCCCACCAACAAUGGAGGAGUGUUCCUCUUUCUCCACAUCCUCGCCAGCAUCUGCUGUCACCUGAGUUUUUGAUCUUGACCAUUCUGACUGGUGUGAGGUGAAAUCUCAGGGUUGUUUUGAUUUGCAUUUCCCUUAUGACUUAGGAUGUUGAACAUUUCUUUAGGUGUUUCUCAAGCCAUUCGACAUUCCUCAGCUGUGAAUUCUUUGUUUAGUUCUGAACCCCGUUUUUUAAUAGGGUUAUUUGUCUCCCUGCUGUCUUUGUAUAUUUUGGAUAUAAGGCCUCUAUCUGUUGUAGGAUUGGUAAAGAUCUUUUCCCAAACUGUAGAUGAACUAAUUUAUGUGGAAGAAAAACCCUGUAGUUAAGCCUUUAGAUGCCUCAACAUCUGGGUUACAGAAAUGAACCCUUACCUCAAUAAAUCAAGAGUUUGUUC